GAUCGAGAUGUUUCAAGCACUUUGCGUCAGAGUCAAUCACGCAUAAAAAGUGGGCUAACUGCACGAUUUCUUCGUGGUCUUACCUCAAUAACAGUUGUGAACCUCACCUGUAAACAAUGAAAUUUUUGGCUGUCAUUUUGGCUUUGGCCGUUUUCGCCCAGGCGGCUGAAAUCCCUAAACUUCGCAGCAAGUUGUUCCCCAGGUCGGAUCUCUUCCCCCGUGCUCCAGUACCUCAAGGACCCGGUUAUUUCGAGCCAACCAAACAAGCCCGCACUGUCGAUACCCGCGGCUUCUGUGGUCAGCGUAAAGUCGAUUCCAGCCGCAUUGUUGGCGGAGUAGAAGCUGUCCCCCAUGAAUUUCCCUGGCAGGUGGCCGUCCUUAUCGAUGGCAGUGGCUUCUGCGGAGGCAGUUUGAUCUCUCCCGACUGGGUUUUGACGGCGGCUCACUGCGCUGAUGGCGCUAACCGAUUCAGCAUCACAUUGGGCGCUCACGAUCGUACCGCUAACGAGCCAUCGCAAGUCACCGUCUCCACCACCACCUACACCGUCCACCCCGGAUGGAAUCCUUCCACCUUGGCCGAUGAUCUUGCCCUCAUCCGCUUGCCAUCUCCCGUUGCCUUCACCCCUGAAAUCGCUCCCAUCUGUUUGGCACCUUCCACCGAAUCCAACCACGUUGGAGAUACUCUCCUGGUCAGCGGAUGGGGCAAAACAGCCGACGGUAUCCUGGAAGGCGUUUCUCCAGUCCUGAUGAAGGUGACCGCCCCUGGAAUCACGACGGCCGAAUGCGCUGCCGUUUACGGUGACAUCAUUACUGACAAUAUCCUGUGUAUCGACACUACCGGAGGACAUGGCUCCUGCAACGGUGACUCUGGUGGCCCAUUGAGCUUCGACAAUGCCGGUGUUUACAACCAGGUCGGUAUCGUUAGCUUCGGUGCUCGCGCCGGUUGCGCUGAUGGAUUCCCCGCUGGAUUCACCCGUGUUUCCAGCUACAGCCAAUGGAUCGCCUGACACCACUGGUCUGAUCAUCUAAAUUUGUUUUCCCCCUUGAAUUGUGUUUUUGGGGUGUGUAUUUCGGCAUUUUAUUGUUUAUUUUUGUUUGACGCUGAUCUUGUUGUCUAAUGAGGUUCGUUUUGAAAACAUUAAACAUCAAUAUACACCAUAAGAUUUGUUGAAAAAGAAA